rnacentral:rRNA from 1 species
UACGUAGGGGGCUAGCGUUGUCCGGAAUCAUUGGGCGUAAAGCGCGUGUAGGCGGUCCGGUAAGUCCGCUGUGAAAGUCGGGGGCUCAACCCUCGAAUGCCGGUGGAUACUGUCGGGCUAGAGUGCGGAAGAGGCGAGUGGAAUUCCUGGUGUAGCGGUGAAAUGCGCAGAUAUCAGGAGGAACACCAAUUGCGAAGGCAGCUCGCUGGGACGUUACUGACGCUGAGGAGCGAAAGCGUGGGGAGCAAACAGG